GAUGAACGCUGGCGGCGUGCCUAAUACAUGCAAGUCGAGCGGACAGAUAAGGAGCUUGCUCCUUUGACGUUAGCGGCGGACGGGUGAGUAACACGUGGAUAACCUACCUAUAAGACUGGGAUAACUUCGGGAAACCGGAGCUAAUACCGGAUAACAUAUUGAACCGCAUGGUUCAAUAGUGAAAGGCGGCUUUGCUGUCACUUAUAGAUGGAUCCGCGCCGUAUUAGCUAGUUGGUAAGGUAACGGCUUACCAAGGCAACGAUACGUAGCCGACCUGAGAGGGUGAUCGGCCACACUGGAACUGAGACACGGUCCAGACUCCUACGGGAGGCAGCAGUAGGGAAUCUUCCGCAAUGGGCGAAAGCCUGACGGAGCACCGCCGCGUGAGUGAUGAAGGUCUUCGGAUCGUAAAACUCUGUUAUCAGGGAAGAACAAAUGUGUAAGUAACUGUGCACAUCUUGACGGUACCUGAUCAGAAAGCCACGGCUAACUACGUG
rnacentral:rRNA from 1 species